CCUACGGGCGGCAGCAGUGAGGAAUAUUGGUCAAUGGACGAGAGUCUGAACCAGCCAAGUAGCGUGAAGGAUGACUGCCCUAUGGGUUGUAAACUGCUUUUAUAUGGGAAUAAAAUGUUCCACGUGUGGGAUUUUGUAUGUACCAUAUGAAUAAGGACCGGCUAAUUCCGUGCCAGCAGCCGCGGUAAUACGGAGGAUCCGGGCGUUAUCCGGAUUUAUUGGGUUUAAAGGGAGCGUAGGGGGAUUGUUAAGCAAGUUGUGAAAGUUUGGGGCUCAACCGUAACAUUGCAGGUGAAACUGGCAGGCUUGAGUACAGUAGAGGUGGGCGGAAGUCGUGGUGUAGCGGUGAAAUGCUUAGAUAUCACGAAGAACUCCGAUUGCGAAGGCAGCUCACUGGACUGCAACUGACACUGAGGCUCGAAAGUGUGGGUAUCAAACAGGAUUAGAUACCCUUGUAGUC
rnacentral:rRNA from 1 species